UACAGAGGGUGCGAGCGUUAAUCGGAAUUACUGGGCGUAAAGCGUGUGUAGGUGGUUAGAUAAGUUAGAUGUGAAAUCCCCGGGCUUAACCUGGGGACUGCGUUUAAGACUGUUUAGCUAGAGUACUGUAGAGGAUAGUGGAAUUUCCAGUGUAGCGGUGAAAUGCGUAGAUAUUCGGAAGAACACCAGUGGCGAAGGCGACUUACUGGACACAUAUUGACGCUGAGGUGCGAAAGCGUGGGGAGCAAACAGG
rnacentral:rRNA from 1 species